CCAUCGAGCCCUCCUUCCUCUUCUCUCUGCAACAGACCUGCAAAACCCAUCACCAUCUCCUUCUCUCUUCUCUACACCGCCGCAUAAACCUCCAUCGCCUCCCCUACCUCAAACCCAUUCCGCUACCCUUUUUCCCCUAUCUUUCUAGCCUCCUAUUUUAUCAAUUUCUCCCCUUUCGUCUCUGUAACCCAAGGUGAAGAAUUGAUAAAAUAGCUCGAGCUAGAGACCCAACCACAACAGGAGAUGGAACAAGAGGAGCAUAGGAAGUAUGGGUCAAUCAUGGGUCGAGAAACAUUCAGAGCAGAGGUACCUGAGGAGCUGUUAAUGGCCUUGAGAAGCUGUUGCAAGCAGUACUGAGAACCAAAGACUGCAGCUGUUGAAGUUGCUGUUGGUACACAGUCAGUUCAGUGGGCUUGAGUUAAACAAAACAGUAAGCCUAAACUCAAAACAAGUUCUGUGGGCUUGUAUGAAUUAGUGUGUGUUUCUGUUCUGUGGGCUUGUAGUUUGUAACUAAACUGUGGGAUUUUCUCACCGCGCAAUGGGCUUUGUUUAGUUGAUUUGUGGACUUGUAAUCUGAGCCUCGAAACCCAACUGAAAACAGAACACAGAAUUUUGGGCUUUGUAUCACA